GAUGAACGCUGGCGGCGUGCCUAAUACAUGCAAGUCGAGCGAACGGACGAGAAGCUUGCUUCUCUGAUGUUAGCGGCGGACGGGUGAGUAACACGUGGAUAACCUACCUAUAAGACUGGGAUAACUUCGGGAAACCGUAGCUAAUACCGGAUAAUAUUUUGAACCGCAUGGUUCAAAAGUGGAAGACGGUCUUGCUGUCACUUAUAGAUGGAUCCGCGCUGCAUUAGCUAGUUGGUAAGGUAACGGCUUACCAAGGCAACGAUGCAUAGCCGACCUGAGAGGGUGAUCGGCCACACUGGAACUGAGACACGGUCCAGACUCCUACGGGAGGCAGCAGUAGGGAAUCUUCCGCAAUGGGCGAAAGCCUGACGGAGCAACUCCGCGUGAGUGAUGAAGGUCUUCGGAUCGUAAAACUCUGUUAUUAGGGAAGAACAUAUGUGUAAGUAACUGUGCACAUCUUGACGGUACCUAAUCAGAAAGCCACGGCUAACUACGUG
rnacentral:rRNA from 1 species